GAAGGGAGCUUGCUCCCGGAUGUUAGCGGCGGACGGGUGAGUAACACGUGGGUAACCUGCCUGUAAGACUGGGAUAACUCCGGGAAACCGGAGCUAAUACCGGAUAGUUCCUUGAACCGCAUGGUUCAAGGAUGAAAGACGGUUUCGGCUGUCACUUACAGAUGGACCCGCGGCGCAUUAGCUAGUUGGUGAGGUAACGGCUCACCAAGGCGACGAUGCGUAGCCGACCUGAGAGGGUGAUCGGCCACACUGGGACUGAGACACGGCCCAGACUCCUACGGGAGGCAGCAGUAGGGAAUCUUCCGCAAUGGACGAAAGUCUGACGGAGCAACGCCGCGUGAGUGAUGAAGGUUUUCGGAUCGUAAAGCUCUGUUGUUAGGGAAGAACAAGUGCAAGAGUAACUGCUUGCACCUUGACGGUACCUAACCAGAAAGCCACGGCUAACUACGUGCCAGCAGCCGCGGUAAUACGUAGGUGGCAAGCGUUGUCCGGAAUUAUUGGGCGUAAAGGGCUCGCAGGCGGUUUCUUAAGUCUGAUGUGAAAGCCCCCGGCUCAACCGGGGAGGGUCAUUGGAAACUGGGAAACUUGAGUGCAGAAGAGGAGAGUGGAAUUCCACGUGUAGCGGUGAAAUGCGUAGAGAUGUGGAGGAACACCAGUGGCGAAGGCGACUCUCUGGUCUGUAACUGACGCUGAGGAGCGAAAGCGUGGGGAGC
rnacentral:rRNA from 1 species